UGCUCUUAUGAAGUUAGCGGCGGACGGGUGAGUAACACGUGGGUAACCUACCCAUAAGACUGGGAUAACUCCGGGAAACCGGGGCUAAUACCGGAUAAUAUUUUGAACUGCAUAGUUCGAAAUUGAAAGGCGGCUUCGGCUGUCACUUAUGGAUGGACCCGCGUCGCAUUAGCUAGUUGGUGAGGUAACGGCUCACCAAGGCGACGAUGCGUAACCGACCUGAGAGGGUGAUCGGCCACACUGGGACUGAGACACGGCCCACACUCCUACGGGAGGCAGCAGUAGGGAAUCUUCCGCAAUGGACGAAAGUCUGACGGACCAACGCCGCGUGAGUGAUGAAGGCUUUCGGGUCGUAAAACUCUGUUGUUAGGGAAGAACAAGUGCUAGUUGAAUAAGCUGGCACCUUGACGGUACCUAACCAGAAAGCCACGGCUAACUACGUGCCAGCAGCCGCGGUAAUACGUAGGUGGCAAGCGUUAUCCGGAAUUAUUGGGCGUAAAGCGCGCGCAGGUGGUUUCUUAAGUCUGAUGUGAAAGCCCACGGCUCAACCGUGGAGGGUCAUUGGAAACUGGGAGACUUGAGUGCAAAAGAGGAGAGUGGCAUUCCAUGUGUAGCGGUGAAAUGCAUAUAGAUAUGGAGGAACACCAGUGGCGAAAGCUACUUUCUGGUCUGUAACUGACACUGAGGCGCGAAAGCGUGGGGAGCAAACAGGAUUACAUACCCUGGUAGUCCACGCCGUAAACGAUGAGUGCUAAGUGUUAGAGGGUUUCCGCCCUUU
rnacentral:rRNA from 1 species